CGUCGUCGCCACUUUAUGACGUCCUUCUCAAAGACGAUUGUCUAGCUCUCGCAUCCUGUUCUCGACAUGAGAGCGAAGUGGAGAAAGAAGCGCAUGCGCAGACUGAAGCGUAAGAGGCGAAAGAUGAGGCAGCGGUCCAAGUAAACUCCGCCAUGGCUGUGACCGCACACGUUCCCUACAACCAGACCGGCGAGCCCAGCUAAAGAUCCAGGACCCUCCCGGUGUCAAGUCUGUCAUUGGUGCCGAUGUACGUUGAAGAGCUGAUUUCAAGACCUGCUGGAUGACAGGCUUUUCCUCGGACGUUCUGGACUCUUUAUUCCUCAACUUUUGUCUUUUUUUGUUUAAACUGUGAUUAAAGGUUUUGGUUCCUAAAGUUG